GUUUGAGAGUUUCUUUCUCUACACGAGCUUCAACAAUCCACCUGCGGUGGCAGGUGUUAUGGAGGUGGCCAAAGAAAGCCAGAUCAGCCAGUGAAGUAGGUCAUGGCGAUGCGACAGUUUGAAUCGAGAGAAGAACUUGGUCUUGAGUAUGAUGAAGAUGUCGAUGUGAACUUCCAACCGUACAGUGAAAUGAUGGGAGUCUUAACAAAAGGAGAGAAGUUUCUCGCUGAGGACGUAGUCAUGGGAGUAUCUCAGAUCAGAUGUAUGUCACAUCAGUUUUAUCAGCCGAACUGCUCCACGGUUUUGGUAGUUUCUUAGGCAGCGCGUUUGUUGUAGUUUGUCCAGACAGAUGGUGUUGUUCCACUGAUGAUAACAUAUCUGCUCAGAGAACUCUAGCUGGUAGCUUCAGUAGCAGUUUAUCUGAGGUUUGCAGAAUGUUUUCAACUAGGUGUGUGAUAUAACUUCUUCGCCAUCUUAAAUUAUACAUCAAGGCGUCUUAUUACUGACAACACCAGCUUAUGGUUUUUCCUCUCUGUUUGGUGGAAAAUCAGAAUCAUAUUAAUAUUUACUUUCCCAUUUCUCUAUUUACAUCACAUACACAAAAUUUAAUAAUGAAAAAGCGAAAGGGAUGCUUUACCUGACAAAGACAUAAGCAACCCGUUCGGUUUUCCUCAUUAGUCAGGCUAGCUAUAUGCGUGCAAUCUAGCAUAUCCACUCCGGCCGGUAUAAACUAGAAUAAA